CCUUUCUGCAUGAUGUGAAUGCCAUGUAACAUCAGAUAUGUGAUGAAAACUCGAUAUUCCCAUGCUGAAAAUGAUAAAAGCCCCCUAAAAUCCAGCUCAGACCUUCAUAUUGUAACAGUGUUGCUGGCUUGCUGAUUCUUUGGGGUAGCCCAGAGCUGCUUCUGUGAACCCUGUAGGAUGCUGCUGGCCAGAGGGAGCCAUGUGGGGAGCAAGGGGUGGGCAGGAGCUGAAAUACAGGUGUUGCUGGUAGAAAGGAGAGCUGGCUUGUUUACUUGCAGGGAGGAAAGUACGGAAAUAGUUUAAGGGGGGUGGGAUGGACACCUGACUGGGUUUUCCAAAGAGAGGUGAGGCCUAAGAGGGAUGUCUUGCCUGCUGAUGGUGAUGCCCUUUAGAAUGCAUUGGUAGGUGUCUGUCAAUAGAAGCAGGAUUUUGAUUACCUGAGACAGGGGCAAGCAAGAGGUGUUGCAGACAACCCAUGAGAAGUCGUUCAAGCCACUGACUGGAAAUAGAUGCAACAAAAUUAGGAGCUCAAGAUAUACCAGGAGGAGGCAGGGAAUGACAUUUAACAUAAGGCCUUCUCUGGUUCCCAUUGCAAAUGUGCUCAUCCUGUUGCAUCGGAGUGCCAAAAACCAGUCUGGUUUUUGGUCUGGGAAUGGAUCAAGAUACGUGGCGGUAUCUACAUGCACACUGCAAAAACAACGCUAAUAUGUAGUUUAGGAUUUAUCAUUUGUUAUUAGCUUUUUACUGCAGAGACUUUUAUCAAGGUGCUUUUAUAAAGAAUAAAUAUUAUUUUAACCAUAUCGCUCCUGGAAAAAGAGAUUUGGAGUUUCAUAGUAACCUAAUAAUGGAUCUUGAAAACGACUCACAGCCCCUGAUUUGCAAUUCAUCCUUCUACUCUGGAAAAAUUAGCAUUACAAAAAGCUGUCAAUAUGAUAAAAUAAACCAGGUUUGCUCUGAAGAAUGCCUUACCUGA